CACACAUGAAAAAUCUAACAGCCCAAGACAGCACCGUUGUGAAACCUGAAAGUAUCCUUUGGAGGGAUAUUUCUCCCCUUUCACUUCAGAAGAUAAGUUUGGAGUGGGAAGGAGAAAGAGCAAUGGUGACACAUUGGAGCUCCAGAGAGAAUUUGUCACUCUCCAAUGAUAAAGAGAGCCAGGCUCCAGGGCCAGACUGCCUGAGUUCAAAACCCAGCAUGGAGCUGUCCCUUGGGAGAGUUGUUUAGGUAUUUCACAUCUCAGAGCUAUGUACAAUAGCCAGGACAUGGAAGCAACCUAAAUGUCCAUCAACAGAAGAAUGGAUAAAGAAGAUAUGGUACAUAUGUACAACGGAAUAUUACUCAGCCAUAAAAAGUAACAAAACUGUGCAGUUUGCAGAGAUGUGGAUGGACCUAGAGACUGUCAUACAGAGUGAAGAGACAGGUGGACAGUCUGAGAACACACUGGGCCUUGGAUUCCUGCAACAAGCUCGGCCAUGAAGACAGCAACGAAAGAAACACCACCGUGAACUCAGACCCCGUCAUUAUUAACAGCUCAUCUCUGGUAGCCCUGAUGCAAUGAAAGCUCACGGUUCUGGCUGUCAUCACGGACAACAUUUCCAACACAGCCACCCACAAGCCCUUGGAAACACCCGUAGCCUCUGGCAAUACCAGGAAUUCAAAGUCCCAGCCCUGUC